GUCCUUAUAAGACGAGGAAGAGACACCAGGAGAGCAGAAGCACGGAGGAAAGGGCGUGUGAGGACGCAGCUAGAAGGCAGCCAUCUGCCAGCCAGGAGGAAAGGUCUCACCAGAAAUCAACCUGCCAGCACUUUGAUCUUGGACUUCCUGCCUCCAGAACUAGGGUAUCUGACGAUUUCGUUCAAGAAAACAAGCAAACAAAACUCAUUAUUUAUUCAUAUGAAGGAGAUACCACAUCAUCCCAUCUAAAGAGUGGAUCCACAGAUUAGCCCUAAGCUAGCAUCUGCUGCCAAUCCUUCUCUUUUUGCUGAGGAAGACUGGCCCUGAGCUAACAUCCAUGUCCAUCAUCCUCUACUUUAUACGUGGGACGCCUACCACAGCAUGGCUUGCCAAGUGGUGCCAUGUCCACACCUGGGAUCUGAACUGGUGAACCCCAGGCCGCCGAAGCGGAACAUGCAAACUUAACUGCUGCGCCACCGGGCCGGCCCCUGAGCCUCGAUUUUAAUAAUAGCAAUUUCAUAAGGUAGAAUAGCUGUAGGAAGUUUGUUUACUUGUUGUCCAAUUUUGAUUGGGGCCCCAGUGGACGUAGGAAAACCUGUUUUGUUUCUAUAACAUACCCAAAUCAUGGAUUACCCCAAAGUCAUACCAGCUAUCAGGAUAAAAAAGUAACAAUUUGUCCUUCUGACAACGGACGUGCUCUGGUAAAGGCGUGGAGCUCUGCUUGUUGGGCUGAUUUAGUCUGAGUGGGAUUUCUCUUUUCAAGCAGUUCAUAUCAGGUAAUAACAGCAUAACCAGAUUGGAAAUUCCUUUUUUCAGUUUUAUAGUAUGACCCAUCAACAAACAGAAUUAGAUCAAGAUUAGUUAAGGGGGUGCCUCAUAAAUCAGGAUGUGGUGUCACAGAAUGGGACAUUAUUACCUUGAGGUGAUGGGACUGACAUUAUAGGCAGAGGUAGUAACGUAGCAGGAUUAAGAAUAUUGCAACAUGAUAUUAGCUCAGGGCCAGUCUUCCUCAGCAAAAAAAAAAAAAAAAAAAGGAGGAGGAUUGACAGCAGGUGUUAGCUCAGGGCCAAUCUUCCUCAAAAAACAAACAAACAAAACAAAAGAAUGUUGCAAGAUUUAAGAUGUAGAUUAGGUGGUAAAAGCAG
rnacentral:lncRNA from 1 species